rnacentral:rRNA from 1 species
CCUACGGGCGGCAGCAGUAGGGAAUUUUCGUCAAUGGGCGCAAGCCUGAACGAGCAAUGCCGCGUGAACGAGGAAGGUCUUCGGAUCGUAAAGUUCUGUUGAAGGGGAAAAAGAGCGGAGAGAGGAAGUGCUUUCUGAUUGAUAUUACCCUUCGAGGAAGUCACGGCUAACUACGUGCCAGCAGCCGCGGUAAUAGGUCGGUGGCGAGCGUUAUCCGGAAUGAUUGGGCGUAAAGGGUGCGUAGGCGGCCUGCUAAGUCUGGAGUGAAAGGUACCGGCACAAGGGGUACAGGCUCUGGAAACUGGCGGGCUAGAGAGCAGGAGAGGGCGGUGGAAUUCGAGGUGUAGCGGUAAAAUGCGUAGAUA